AUUGAACGCUGGCGGAAUGCUUUACACAUGCAAGUCGAACGGCAGCACGGGGCAACCUGGUGGCGAGUGGCGAACGGGUGAGUAAUACAUCGGAACGUGCCCAAUCGUGGGGGAUAACGUAGCGAAAGUUACGCUAAUACCGCAUACGAUCUACGGAUGAAAGCGGGGGAUCGCAAGACCUCGCGCGAAUGGAGCGGCCGAUGUCAGAUUAGGUAGUUGGUGGGGUAAAGGCUCACCAAGCCAACGAUCUGUAGCUGGUCUGAGAGGACGACCAGCCACACUGGAACUGAGACACGGUCCAGACUCCUACGGGAGGCAGCAGUGGGGAAUUUUGGACAAUGGGCGCAAGCCUGAUCCAGCCAUUCCGCGUGCAGGAUGAAGGCCUUCGGGUUGUAACUGCUUUUGUACGGAACGAAACGGUCUGCCCUAAUACGGCGGGCUAAUGACGGUACCGUAAGAAUAAGCACCGGCUAACUACGUGCCAGCAGCCGCGGUAA
rnacentral:rRNA from 1 species